CCUACGGGGGGCUGCAGUGGGGAAUAUUGGACAAUGGGGGGAACCCUGAUCCAGCCAUGCCGCGUGUGUGAAGAAGGCCCUCGGGUUGUAAAGCACUUUCAGUGAGGAAGAACGCCUGGUGGUUAAUACCCAUCAGGAAAGACAUCACUCACAGAAGAAGCACCGGCUAACUCCGUGCCAGCAGCCGCGGUAAUACGGAGGGUGCGAGCGUUAAUCGGAAUUACUGGGCGUAAAGCGCGCGUAGGUGGCUUGAUAAGCCGGUUGUGAAAGCCCCGGGCUCAACCUGGGAACGGCAUCCGGAACUGUCAAUCUAGAGUGCAGGAGAGGAAGGUAGAAUUCCCGGUGUAGCGGUGAAAUGCGUAGAGAUCGGGAGGAAUACCAGUGGCGAAGGCGGCCUUCUGGACUGACACUGACACUGAGGUGCGAAAGCGUGGGUAGCAAACAGGAUUAGAUACCCGAGUAGUC
rnacentral:rRNA from 1 species